UAUGUGAUCGUCUCUUGCAUAUCAAUAAGCGGAGGAAAAGAAACUAACUAGGAUUCCCCUAGUAACGGCGAGUGAAGCGGGAAGAGCUCAAAUUUGAAAUCUUAAAGGGUUUCCCUUUACGAAUUGUAGUUUAAAGAAGUGUUUUCUGUUGAGGUUUUGGUAAAAGUUCUUUGGAAUAGGACAUCAUAGAGGGUGAGAAUCCCGUAUUUGACCUUUACUUUCAACUUUGUGAUACACUUUCAAAGAGUCGGAUUGUUUGGGAAUGCAGUCCAAAAUGGGUGGUAAAUUUCAUCUAAAGCUAAAUAUUGGCGAGAGACCGAUAGCGAACAAGUACCGUGAGGGAAAGAUGAAAAGAACUUUGAAAAGAGAGUUAAACAGUACGUGAAAUUGUCAAAAGGGAAGCGUUUGACACCAGUGUUGUUUUUCUGAAAAUCAAUUAAAGAACUGUUUAUGCUAAGCUGUUUAGACUUUAUCAGCUAUCUGUUUAGUUUUGAGCUUUUCUUUAAUGCACUUUUCAGUUAACAAGUCAACAUCAAUUUCUUUUGCUGUAAAAAAGCUUGAGGAAGGUGGCUUGAGAUUCGUCUUAAGUGUUUAUAGCCUCUCGCCUAUGCAGUCGGAGAGAUUGAGGUCUGCAGCGUAGAUCCUUCGGGGCUAAAUGCAUUUGUGCUAAGUUAUAGCAUUUUAUAGACAACUUGUUGACUAUGAUUUGUCUUGUAGCUUACUCGCUUAUGUUAUUUUACCUACGCUUAGGAUGUUGAUCUACAGAGCGAGAGU
rnacentral:rRNA from 1 species